UACGUAGGGAGCGAGCGUUGUCCGGAUUUACUGGGUGUAAAGGGUGCGUAGGCGGCUCUGUAAGUCAGAAGUGAAAUCCAUGGGCUCAACCCAUGAACUGCUUUUGAAACUGUGGAGCUUGAGUGAAGUAGAGGUAGGCGGAAUUCCCGGUGUAGCGGUGAAAUGCGUAGAGAUCGGGAGGAACACCAGUGGCGAAGGCGGCCUACUGGGCUUUAACUGACGCUGAGGCACGAAAGCGUGGGUAGCAAACAGG
rnacentral:rRNA from 1 species